AUUGAACGCUGGCGGCAGGCCUAACACAUGCAAGUCGAGCGGAUGAAGGGAGCUUGCUCCUGGAUUCAGCGGCGGACGGGCGAGUAAUGCCUAGGAAUCUGCCUGGUAGUGGGGGAUAACGUCCGGAAACGGGCGCUAAUACCGCAUACGUCCUGAGGGAGAAAGUGGGGGAUCUUCGGACCUCACGCUAUCAGAUGAGCCUAGGUCGGAUUAGCUAGUUGGUGGGGUAAAGGCCUACCAAGGCGACGAUCCGUAACUGGUCUGAGAGGAUGAUCAGUCACACUGGAACUGAGACACGGUCCAGACUCCUACGGGAGGCAGCAGUGGGGAAUAUUGGACAAUGGGCGAAAGCCUGAUCCAGCCAUGCCGCGUGUGUGAUGAAGGUCUUCGGAUUGUAAAACACUUUAAGUAGGGAGGAAGGGAAGUAAGUUAAUACCUUGCUGUUUUGACGUUACCAACAGAGAAAGCACCGGCUAACUUCGUG
rnacentral:rRNA from 1 species